GCGGCCGCGGGAAUUCGAUUAGAGUUUGAUCAUGGCUCAGGACGAACGCUGGCGGCGCGCUUAACACAUGCAAGUCGAGCGAGAACCAGGACUUCGGUCCUGGGGACAGCGGCGAACGGGUGAGUAACACGUGAGCAAUCUGCCCAUCACAUCGGGAUAACUCCGGGAAACCGGAGCUAAUACCGGAUACGACCACUUCAGGCAUCUGACGGUGGUGGAAAGUUCCGGCGGUGAUGGAUGAGCUCGCGGCCUAUCAGCUUGUUGGUGGGGUAAUGGCCUACCAAGGCUUCGACGGGUAGCCGGCCUGAGAGGGUGACCGGCCACACUGGGACUGAGACACGGCCCAGACUCCUACGGGAGGCAGCAGUGGGGAAUAUUGGGCAAUGGGCGAAAGCCUGAUCCAGCAACGCCGCGUGAGGGAUGACGGCCUUCGGGUUGUAAACCUCUUUCAGCAGGGACGAAGCGCAAGUGACGGUACCUGCAGAAGAAGCACCGGCCAACUACGUGCCAGCAGCCGCGGUAAUACGAAUCACUAGUGAAUUCGCGGCCGCCUGCAGGUCGACCAUAUGGGAGAGCUCCCAAC
rnacentral:rRNA from 1 species